AAGAGUUGUCAUUUGAAGCUCUGUACAGCUCCACUUCACUGCCAAACAGAACAGAAGUAAAAGGAAUAUCUGAAAAGCUGCAUAAAUAAGAACAACUGGACAGCAACCAUGCUGUUCUGAUUAAUAUUCAGAGGGCUUUCCUAUUUGGCGGAAAAGCUGUCUGGCUGCUUUAAACCAUCAAGACAACGAGUUACAAACACAGGAUGAUCCAGCAACCGGCAGCAAGUAUGGUCAGCAACCAGAAGUCCUCCACCGAACCAGUUCCCAUCAGUCGACAUGAUGCCCGUUUAAUAUGUCAUGUUAAAUAGGCAUUUGUAAAACUAGUAGUCCCCAUAUACGUGGCCACGUGAUGUGAGCCUCUCUCUGUGCUGAAAAUAAUGAUGACUUGCCUUUAAACUCUCAAAUUAGGAGGUGGGCAUUUCUGAUGGUUCAUUCAGGACAGACAGGAGUACACACCCUGCCAGUGCUACCCAGAUUAAUGGAUUCAUUAAAGGGCCCAUAUCCUACAUUUUACUUACAAUGUUUAUGUGGUUAUAUGUACCAAAAACAGUUGUAUUCCAUUUUCGUAAACCUUUAUCCCUAGGAAUUAAACGAGCUGUUUUUGUUACUGUGCAUUUAAGACUGAUGCAUGUAAAUGACCUCUGUUCUGCCCUGUAUUAUAACUUUAGUGUCACUGGGUGAGGCAAAAGUGCUGUCACACAAUGCCCUCCACAGAUAUUGGCACCCCUAGUAAUCAUGAGCAAAAUGAAUAAAUAUGAGCAGAAUGAAAUAAUUAUUCUUAAUUACUUAUUCUUUUUUAUUUCUUUCAAAAAUUAGCAACAAUCUAACAUUUCUUUAAAGUAUAAUGAUAAACCAAAUUUCAUCAUAAAAAAAUAUUUUUCUUAAAUCUGUGCCACAAUUGUUGAAAUUCUUAAACGUGAAAACUAAGUGAAGUAUAUUCAAAUUCAUAUUUUAUAUUUUUAAGUUCACGUGAGUGAUUAGAAACACUUAAAUGGUAAUUAUUCACUGGGGAAAACAUAUAGGAUGAAAAACAGACUAAAUUCCCUCAGUCAUCCAUCACUAUGAGAAAGACCAGAGAAAACAGCAAUGAACUAUGACAAAAGGUUCUUGAGCUGCACACAUCAGGAAACGGCCACAAGAAAAUAGCUGAACAGUUGAAAAGGCCCUUUUUUUACCAUCAGGGAAAUAAUUAAGAAGCUUAAAACAACUGGAGAUAUUAAGAAUCUGCUGAGAAAAGAAUGCAUGUCUAUACUCUCCCCAUAUACAGUGAGGAGGAUGGAAAAAAGUUUUUGCUGCUUGGUUUCCAUAUACAUGGACUGUAUAGACUGUGAAGUGAAUGGUACUUAUUUCAAAAAGCUA